rnacentral:rRNA from 1 species
CGGAGCGACGCCGCGUGGUGGAUGAAGGCCCUCGGGUUGUAACACCUGUCGUAGGGGAGGAAAUUUUGACCGAUCCUAGGAGGAAGCACAGGCUAAGUUCGUGCCAGCAGCCGCGGUAAUACGAACUGUGCAAACGUUAUUCGGAAUCACUGGGCUUAAAGGGUGCGUAGGCGGAUUUGUAGGUCAGAUGUGAAAUCCCACGGCUCAACCGUGGAACUGCGUUUGAAACCACAAGUCUUGAGGGGAUCAGAGGAGAGCGGAACUGAUGGUGGAGCGGUGAAAUGCGUUGAUAUCAUCAGGAACACCGGUGGCGAAAGCGGCUCUCUGGGAUCUUUCUGACGCUGAGGCACGAAAGCUAGGGGAGCGAACGGGAUUAGAUACCCCGGUAGUCCUAGCUGUAAACGAUCUGUACUAGUCCGUGGGGGCUCCCACACCUUCUCGGACGUAGCGAAAGUGUUAAGUACAGCGCCUGGGGAGUAUGGUCGCAAGGCUGAAACUCAAAGGAAUUGACGGGGCCUUCACACAAAAAU